CCUACGGGAGGCAGCAGUGGGGAAUCUUGCGCAAUGGGCGAAAGCCUGACGCAGCCAUGCCGCGUGAAUGAUGAAGGUCUUAGGAUUGUAAAAUUCUUUCACCGGGGACGAUAAUGACGGUACCCGGAGAAGAAGCCCCGGCUAACUUCGUGCCAGCAGCCGCGGUAAUACGAAGGGGGCUAGCGUUGCUCGGAAUUACUGGGCGUAAAGGGAGCGUAGGCGGAUAGUUUAGUCAGAGGUGAAAGCCCAGGGCUCAACCUUGGAAUUGCCUUUGAUACUGGCUAUCUUGAGUAUGGGAGAGGUUAGCGGAACUCCGAGUGUAGAGGUGAAAUUCGUAGAUAUUCGGAAGAACACCAGUGGCGAAGGCGGCUAACUGGCCCAUUACUGACGCUGAGGCUCGAAAGCGUGGGGAGCAAACAGGAUUAGAUACCCUGGUAGUCCACGCCGUAAACGAUGAGUGCUAGUUGUCGGCAUGCAUGCAUGUCGGUGACGCAGCUAACGCAUUAAGCACUCCGCCUGGGGAGUACGGUCGCAAGAUUAAAACUUAAAUGAAUUGACGG
rnacentral:rRNA from 1 species